GGGGCUUUGGCGCAAUUGGUAGCGCGUUCGACUCCAGAUCGAAAGGUUAUCCGUUCAAAUCGGGUAGGCCUCA